rnacentral:lncRNA from 1 species
CUCCCAUUCCAUUACAUCCCCCUUUAUAAAAGUGCAACAGAAGUACCCCAAUAUGACAUGCCAAAUUACAUCCCAAAAAUACCAAAUGACAAUUCAUCACAAACGGAAAUCGGGCUCUACGGAGCCCGAUUUCCGUCCAAAAACGGUACGCGUAAACCAGCGCGAAUACCAACGUCAUCAGUAAAAUGGCUAUAACUUGAAAAGAUUGUGAAAAUUCAAGCCAUAAAAAUGACAUACAAAUGAGAAUGGAGUGAUUAAAAAGUUGGAAAAACGACAGAUUACGACGUCGUAAGAUGG